rnacentral:snRNA from 1 species
AUACCUUUCUCGGCCUUUUGGCUAAGAUGAAGUGUAGUAUCUGUUCUUAUCAGUUUAAUAUCUGAUACGUGGGCUAUUAGCCCACAUGAUAUUAACUCAAUUUUUUUAGGAGAAAGCCUAUUAAGAUAGCUUUCUGUCUGGGCUUUCGAGUGUCGCCUUAGCGUUGCACUAUUGCCUCGGCCUGGCGCACCCCAC